ACUGUUUCAGUGUCUCCCAAGGGCAGAGAACAGAAUGUGCUAACAUAGUUCAGAAUGGUUUCUUUUUCUGUUUUGGAAGUUUUGAGGUGAUUUUCCUUCCACAGUCACUGUGAGAACUUGAUAGAGCUCAAGGGGGACCUCAGAGAUGAUCUCUCCAGUGUGGUCCCAGAAAUUCAAUUGCAGUCCUGGCUGGCCUGUUCUGGCUUUCCCUGGCCCCGUAUGGUAGAAGAGAGCCAACUUCCGUAUUGUCGUCUGACUUGCUGAUCAUGGCAUGUAGUGCGCCUCUCACGUCGACCGUCUUCUGCACGAAAUAAAUAUGUAAACGUGAAA